rnacentral:rRNA from 1 species
AGUGAACGCUGGCGGCAGGCCUAACACAUGCAAGUCGAACGGCAGCACAAGAGAGCUUGCUCUCUGGGUGGCGAGUGGCGGACGGGUGAGGAAUGCAUCGGAAUCUGCCCAUUUGUGGGGGAUAACCUCGAGAAACCGGGACUAAUACCGCAUACGACCUCCGGGUGAAAGCAGGGUGUCUUCGGACCUUGCGCAGAUGGAUGAGCCGAGGCCGGAUUAGCUAGUUGGGGGGGUAAAGGCCCACCAAGGCGACGAUCCGUAGAUGGUCUGAGAGGAUGAUCAGCCACACUGGGACUGAGACACGGCCCAGACUCCUACGGGAGGCAGCAGUGGGGAAUAUUGGACAAUGGGCGCAAGCCUGAUCCAGCCAUGCCGCGUGUGUGAAGAAGGCCUUCGGGUUGUAAAGCACUUUUGUUGGGAAAGAAAAGCAGCCGGUUAAUACCCGGUUGUCAUGACGGUACCCAAAGAAUAAGCACCGGCUAACUUCGUG